CGCACAUGGCGCCCUUUGGUAUUCCGAAGGGCACGUCUGUUCGAGCGUCGCAAACACAAGAUCGAGCGUCUCUUGACGCUUGGAGUUGGGCGGUUCGUCCGUAAAGGAUGCCCCCGAAAAAGAGCGGCAGGUUGAACGUAACCCUCAGCGCGUUGACAUUAUUUCGCUGAAGGCGGUUGCGAUCGGUCUCGCCGGCAAUCUUGGUGCGCUUACCGCGUAACCUACCCUUUGAAAUCGACCUCGGAUCAGACGGGGAUACCCGCUGAACUUAA
rnacentral:misc_RNA from 1 species